GAUGAACGCUGGCGGCGUGCCUAACACAUGCAAGUCGAGCGAACAGACGAGGAGGUUGAUCCGAGGACGGUAGAGGCGGACGGGUGAGGAACACGUGGAGAACCUAUCUAUAGGACUGGGAUAACUUGGGGAAACCGGUGCUAAAACAGGAAAAGAACGUCAACCGCAAGGUUCAAUAGUGAAAGAGGGUUUUGCUGUGAAUGAGAGAGGGAACCGAGCCGCAGUAGCUAGGGGGUAAGGAAACGGCUUACCAAGGCAACGAUGCGAAGCCGACCUGAGAGGCGGAUCGGCCACACUGGACCUGAGACACGGUCCAGACUCCUACGGGAGGCAGCAGUAGGGAAUCUUCCACAAUGGGCGAAAGCCUGACGGAGCAACGCCUCGCGAGUGAUGAAGGUCUUCGGCUCGUAAAUCUCUGUUAUUAGGGAAGAACAAAUGUGUAAGUAACUAUGCACGUCUUGACGGUACCUAAUCAGAAAGCCCCGGCUAACUACGUG
rnacentral:rRNA from 1 species